rnacentral:rRNA from 1 species
UACGAAGGGGGCUAGCGUUGCUCGGAUUGACUAGGCGUAAAGGGCGCGUAGGCGGUUCGUACAGUCAGACGUGAAAUUCCUGGGCUCAACCUGGGGGCUGCGUUUGAUACGUGCGGACUUGAGUGCGGAAGAGGGUCGUGGAAUUCCCAGUGUAGAGGUGAAAUUCGUAGAUAUUGGGAAGAACACCGGUGGCGAAGGCGGCGACCUGGUCCGAUACUGGACGCUGAGGCGCGAAAGCGUGGGGAGCAAACAGG